rnacentral:lncRNA from 1 species
CGCGGUUGUUGGGGGUUCGCUCGAGCCUCACGACGCCCGCGACUGGGGACUCGGAACCUGGGCCAGGCUGGGACGAGGCCGCGCGGGAGGGCGCGCUGGGCGGACGCUGGGGCCGCGGAGCCCAACCGCCCUUGUCCUGGACGCCCCUUGGCGGUCCGCACUGGCGGGUGCCCUCUCCCGAGGGGAACUGAGGCGGGGCGCCUGCCACCAUUCGUGAUUUUCCGUGACUCACCCUCUCAACAGUGUCCCGUCAGCCCCCGCUUUCUGGAAUUAAGAUGAUUUUCCAUGGGCAUUAUAGUCAGAGGAGGUUUUCUGUGAGACAUCUGGGAAAGAAAUUUAGGACCAAGAAUCUUCUGUCACAGAACCUAUUACUUUGAGGAGUGAACUUAUAUUAACGGUGCUAAACCGUACAUGAACGACUUGGUAGAUGAAAACUUUGGAAAAUAGGAACAUUUCAUGUCAUCACAUGUAUCCUCCAGCAUUGGGGAAAAUUCAACAGUUGCCUUAAGGCGGGAGUUUAAUUGAGGACAUUUACUAAAAAGUUACUUAUUCUGUUUGAAAUUCUCUUCUGAUAAACAUCUUCCCGGGAUAACGAACAUCUCCAGGAUGUGAGAGCCGAGCGCGUGUCCGCGGAGUGCUUGAGCAACGCAGAAUGGCUUCG